rfam:Edwardsiella phage PEi20 DNA, complete sequence.
GGACCUAUAGUUUCAGCGGUUAAAAUACUCCCCUGUCACGGGAGCGUCACGAGUUCGAAUCUCGUUAGGUCCG